CCUACGGGCGGCAGCAGUGGGGAAUAUUGGGCAAUGGGCGCAAGCCUGACCCAGCAACGCCGCGUGAAGGAAGAAGGCUUUCGGGUUGUAAACUUCUUUUUUCAGGGACGAAGAAAGUGACGGUACUUGCGGAAUAAGUCACGGCUAACUACGUGCCAGCAGCCGCGGCAAUACGUAGGUGGCAAGCGUUAUCCGGAUUUGUUGGGUGUAAAGGGAGUGUAGGCGGGAGGGCAAGUCAGAUGUGAAAACUCAGGGCUCAACCCUGAGCCUGCAUUUGAAACUGUGUUUCUUGAGUACAGGAGAGGCAGGCGGAAUUCCGGGUGUAGCGGUGAAAUGCGUAGAUAUACGGAGGAACACCAGUGGCGAAGGCGGAUUGCUGGACAGUAACUGACGCUGAGGCGCGAAAGCGUGGGGAGCAAACAGGAUUAGAUACCCUAGUAGUC
rnacentral:rRNA from 1 species